rnacentral:tRNA from 1 species
AAAAAGAUAAGCUAAAUAUAAGCUAGAGGGUUCAUACCCCUUUUAUAAAGAUUCUUCUUUUCUUUUUA